rnacentral:misc_RNA from 1 species
CAGCUGUGAACGCCGCCGCGGGUUUGCGCACGUCGCGAGCGGUCAUCGCACAAGCGCUCUUUUGACCGCUUCACGCGGCGCGACGGGCGCCUUGCGCGGCGCGCAUCGCAGCAAUGGGAGGCGAAGCGCCAAUCGGGACCGCACGUGCGUCUCGAACCCGCAAGAGGAGAGGCAAGGAUGAAUCAAACGACAGAAAAAGCCGUGAGCGCCGCGCAAGCCGGCGAGACCGAUACGAUCGUGAACUACAAGCCCGCCUAUAUCACGAUGGGCGUCAUGCUGGUCUUCUACGUCGGCAUCCGAGUCUAUGAGCAAUAUUUCGGAUGGAAGGCCGGCCUCGAUUCCUUCGCGCCGGAAUUCCAGACCUACUGGAUGAAUUUGAUGUGGACCGAGCUGCCGCUCGAGUUCGUCGCCUUCUGCGGCAUCGGCGGCUAUCUUUGGAAGACGCGCGACCGCAACAUCGACGCCGUCGCGCCGCGCGAGGAGAUGCGCCGCAUCCUGACGCUCAUCGGCUGGCUCGCGGUGUACGCCUUCUCCGUCUACUGGGGCGCCUCCUACUUCACCGAGCAGGACGGCACCUGGCACCAGACCGUGAUUCGCGACACCGACUUCACGCCGAGCCAUAUCCUCGAGUUCUACCUCAGCUAUCCGAUCUACAUCAUCUGCGGUUGGGGCGCCUUCAUGUAUGCGCACACGCGCAUCCCGCAAUUCGCCAAGCGAAUUUCGCUCGCCUUCCUGAUGUUCUUCGCCGGGCCCUUCAUGAUUUUCCCGAACAUCGGCCUGAACGAGUGGGGCCACACCUUCUGGUUCAUGGAAGAGCUGUUCACGGCGCCGCUGCACUGGGGCUUCGUGUUCUUCGGCUGGUUCGCGCUCGCCGUUUUCGGCGUCGCGCGCCAGGUGCUCGAUCGCGUGAUCGAACUCAGCAAGGAAUACGAGAAGGACGCUCUCGCGCUCUAGAUCGCGCCGCAUCUGAGCUGAACCGCCCAAAUGCGGAUGCGUGAUCGAAUCCGAAAGUUAGAGCGCGCUCCAAGCAAAAAGCCGGUUCCCACUUUUUCGCCGCGCGCGCCAACGCGCAUCGACCUUCGCGCGUCAACGCUUCGAAACGGAAAGCGGCCGUCGACCGAAAGGCGAAGGCCGGGCGGGGCCGCCGCUUUCCUUCCGCAAGAUCAAUUCGAGAGAGGAAAACAUGUCGGCAUCAAUUGAAACAGGCUCGCCAACCGGCAAGACCUGGAAAUCGAAAGAAGAGUUUCUCGGCUGCGUCAUUCUGACGGAUUGGAUCCUGCUGGUGAUCCUGUUCGCCGUGCUGCUCGGCUCCUUCCACAUCCACUACAUGCUGCUCGCCGGCGACUGGGACUUCUGGAUCGACUUCAAGGAUCGACGCAUGUGGCCGACGGUGACGCCGAUCGUCGCCAUGUGCUUCGCCGCGGCCGCGCAGUCCUUCUUCUGGACGCGGUUCCGACUGCCGAUCGGCGCCACGACCGUCGUGCUCGCCCUGCUGAUCGGCGAGUGGAUCAACCGCUAUGACAACUUCUGGGGCUGGACCUUCUUCCCGAUCAAUCUGGUGUUUCCGUCGGCGCUCAUUCCGAUGGGCUUCUGGCUCGACAUCGUGCUGAUGAUCUCGGGCAGCUGGCUGGUCACCGCGCUCCUUGGCGGCCUUGGCUGGGGCCUGUUGUUCUAUCCGAUCAACUGGCCUGUGUUGGCGCAAUAUCAUCAGGCUGCUGAAAUCGACGGCGUGCUGCUCACGCUCGCCGACCUCAUCGGCUUCAACUACGUCCGCACCGGCACCCCGGAAUACAUCCGCAUGGUCGAGCGCGGCACGCUGCGCACCUUCGGCAAGGACGUGGUUCCGGUCGCCGCCUUCUUCUCCGGCUUCAUUUCGAUGCUCGUCUACUUCCUGUGGUGGAACAUGGGCAAGUGGUUCUCGACGACGAAAUAUCUCGAGAUCGAAGAGGUCUAGGACGCGACGCGCAAUUUCACCGGAGCCGGCGACGGCUCCGGCGGCGAAGAAACGCAAGGGAGUGACUCGAGAUGAAAAGUUUGAAUUUGCACUCGAUGGCCAAAUGCGCGACGGCCCGCGUCGUCCGCCUUUGGAUCCUCGGAUUGGCCGUCGCAGGCGCCCUAACCACCCUGCCGGCGGCGACGCCCGCCGCCGCGCAUGGCGAACGUUCGCAGCAGGCCUUCCUGCGCAUGCGCACGCUCAACUGGUAUGACGUCAAAUGGUCGAAGACCGAGCUCAAUGUGAAUGACGAGAUGGAGCUCACCGGAAAGGUGCAUGUGUUUUCCGGCUGGCCGCAGGCCGUCGCCAGGCCCGGCGAAUCCUUUCUCAACGUCGGCGAGCCGGGGCCGGUGCUCAUCCGCAAGAGCGCCUUCGUCGGCGAAGUGCCGGUGCCGCGCACCUUCUCGAUGGAUGUCGGCAACGACUAUGAAUACAAGAUCGUCCUGAAAGCGCGCCGGCAGGGCCGCUAUCACGUGCAUGUCCAGAUCAACGUCAAGGACGGCGGCCCGAUCGUCGGUCCGGGACAGUGGAUCACCAUCAAGGGCGACAUGAAGGAUUUCACCAAUCCGGUGACGCUGCUCGAAGGUUCGACGAUCGAUCUCGAAACCUAUGGGAUCACCUGGACCUAUAUCUAUCACUUCUUCUGGAUGGCCGCCGCCGCCGCCUGGAUCCUGUACUGGUUCAUGACCAAGGGGAUCAUCGUCCGAUAUUGGCAGGUCAAGGCCGGCAAGGGCCGCGAGCUGAUCGGCCAGGACGAAAAGCGGAUCGGCGCGGUCACGCUCGCCGCGGUUCUCCUGGCUGUGCUGGUCUUCUACGCCAGCGCCAAUCGGGAGUUCCCGCGCACGCUGCCGAUGCAGGCGGGCUUGCUGACCGGCAUCUCGCCGAUCGACGAGCCGCGGUCGACGGUCGCCGUUCAGUUCAAAGGUGGCUCCUAUACGGUGCCGGGCCGCGAAUUGCGGAUCAGGGCGAAGGUGACCAACAAUGGCAAGGAGCCGAUCCGGCUCGGCGAAUUCACGUCCGCCGGUCUGCGCUUCCUCAAUCCGGACGUCUUCACGACGCGGCCGGAUUUCCCUGACUAUCUGCUUGCCGACCGCGGCCUUUCCGUGAGCGAUCCCAAUCCGAUCGCGCCCGGCGAGACCCGCGACCUGGAAGUGAUCGUUCAGGACGCCCGCUUCGACAUCGAACGCCUGUCCGAUCUCGCCUAUGACACCGACAGCCAGUUUGGCGGACUGCUGUUCUUCUUCAGCCCCUCCGGCGAGCGUCAGAGGGCUGAAAUCGGCGGCCCGGUGAUUCCGAAGUUCCAGGCGGGAGCCACGCUUUAAUCCUCCAAGCGUUGUUGCGCGCUCGCUGCGGGCGCGCAACAAAACCUUGCCCGCCCAAGUUCUUGGGCGGGCAUU